rnacentral:rRNA from 1 species
AACGAACGCUGGCGGCAUGCCUAACACAUGCAAGUCGAACGAGACCUUCGGGACUAGUGGCGCACGGGUGCGUAACGCGUGGGAACCUGCACUUAGGUUCGGAAUAACUCCCCGACAGGGGUGCUAAUACCGGAUAAUGUCUUCGGACCAAAGAUUUAUCGACUUUGGAUGGGCCCGAGUUGGAUUAGCUAGUUGGUAGGGUAAAAGCCUACCAAGGCGACGAUCCAUAGCUGGUCUGAGAGGAUGAUCAGCCACACUGGGACUGAGACACGGCCCAGACUCCUACGGGAGGCAGCAGUGGGUAAUAUUGGACAAUGGGCGAAAGCCUGAUCCAGCAAUGCCGCGUGAGUGAUGAAGGCCUUAGGGUUGUAAAGCUCUUUUACCCGGGAUGAUAAUGACAGUACCGGGAGAAUAAGCUCCGGCUAACUCCGUG